rnacentral:rRNA from 1 species
AUUCACCUACGGGAGGCAGCAGUGAGGAAUAUUGGUCAAUGGGCUUACGCCUGAACCAGCCACGUCGCGUGAGGGAAGACUGCCCUAUGGGUUGUAAACCUCUUUUGUCGGGGAGCAAAGAGACCACGUGUGGUCAAAAGCGAGAGUACCCGAAGAAAAAGCAUCGGCUAACUCCGUGCCAGCAGCCGCGGUAAUACGGAGGAUGCGAGCGUUAUCCGGAUUUAUUGGGUUUAAAGGGUGCGUAGGCGGGACGGUAAGGCAUCGGUAAAAAUGCGGAGCUCAACUCCGUCGAGCCGU